rnacentral:rRNA from 2 species
GGAUGCGAUCAUACCAGCACUAAAGCACCGGAUCCCAUCAGAACUCUGAAGUUAAGCGUGCUUGGGCGAGAGUAGUACUAGGAUGGGUGACCUCCUGGGAAGUCCUUGUGUUGCAUUCC